ACAAAUUGGCAGCAGAAGCUUUUUACUUGAUGGCCAUUGUAUAUGACAAGCUGGGGCAGCUGGACCACAGGGAAGAAGCAGCUUAUUCAUUUAGGAAACACAUCACUGCUCUUGAAAGCUCUGAUAUUGAAGAUCUUCUUCAAUAUUGUUGCUAAGAACCAGUAUUUUACGUAAAUAUGCCCUUGGCAGCUGGCAAAUCUGUGUUCGACCGUCUCAUACAUGCUUUUAUUACAGCUUCAUUCAUGCACCAUGAGAAGCAUUCUAAAUUUCUAAUGGAACACCCAUGUGGACAUUGAUUGUGAUAUAAUCAUAUAAAGGCAGUGAAGAUAUCAUGGAUGUGGUGGCUUUCCGAUUGCAAGCUUAGAAACACUUCAAAUUUCUUGGCAAGUGUAUCGUCGAUAUCCUCCAAUAUCAGAUUGAGGCACAUUUUUGUUGUUGAUGGUGGUUGAGUAACAUUAGUGCUAGAUGGCCAUGCUAUACCAGUUAGAGUGUACCCAACACUUUUGAAUAUGAUUGUUGGAAGAUACCAUGAUUUUGUUGGCCCGUUUGCGAGGCCGAAAAGGCUAAGGCUAAUGAUUUCUUGGGGGUGUUGAACUAGAUGUCCACAAUCAGUGAUCGGGAGAUAGAGAUCUAAAGAAGCCUCCUGAGGAGAUUGUCUAGCGUAAGAACCUUUUCCAACUUUUCUUAUGUUAGUGUAAGAUCUUCUCUCGUUGUACAGAUUGUUCUAUAGGGUUAGCAAUAUAGUAGGAUAUCAGAUAUUAAAUACGUUAUAAGACUUUGAGCCAUGUUGAAAGUUGAGAUCUUCGUACUUAUCACCUCAUCAACAUGAUAAAAUCAUUUGACGCCAUUGGUGUGCACAGAUUUACCUGAGCCCAGACAAGUAACUUAGCAGUAGUAUUUGUAGGGUUACCAUAGAUGCCAGGGACCAUUAUUGUGAAGAUACGUGCCGAAAGCCUGAAAAAGAGCUUGGACAGUUGUGGGAGUGGAUCAGAGAGCCUCAAAAUACCUUCUCUGUGUUGAAAUCUUGUAUGGAGUGUGGAAGGGGAAUAUGUAUGCCUAGAGAGAAAGUGGACCAGAAUGAACAUCCAAAUGAUGCUAAAGAGAAGAUAAAGGUCUUCUGAUCUCCCAUAUUGUGAUACCAUUUGGAGAACAAGUGCGGAUAGAAAGUGUCAGAAUGUGCAAGAGAAAGGUGUCUGAGUCCCUUUCACGGGCAUUAACAAAAAGAGUGCUGAAUCUGCUGAUAAGAGAGUUUUGUGAAAGUCUAUAUUUAAGAGGACGGCCCUUUAUAAUACGAAAUUUGCCUAUGCAUAUGAAACAAUUAUAUUUCUUUUGCCGAUAGAGUUACCUCGAGUCACUCCUAUGGCUUAGCUUCGAUUGACUUAGUGAAUUGUAAUGAAAGAACCAAAUACAUUCAUCA